rnacentral:rRNA from 1 species
GGACCCGCACAAGCGGUGGAUUAUGUGGAUUAAUUCGAUGCAACGCGAAGAACCUUACCUACCCUUGACAUGCUAGGAACCCUGCAGAGAUGUAGGGGUGCCCGAAAGGGAACCUAGACACAGGUGCUGCAUGGCUGUCGUCAGCUCGUGUCGUGAGAUGUUGGGUUAAGUCCCGCAACGAGCGCAACCCUUGCCAUUAGUUGCCACAUUUAGUUGGGCACUCUAAUGGGACUGCCGGUGACAAACCGGAGGAAGGUGGGGAUGACGUCAAGUCCUCAUGGCCCUUAUGGGUAGGGCUUCACACGUAAUACAAUGGCGCAUACAGAGGGCUGCAAACCCGCGAGGGGGAGCCAAUCUCACAAAGUGCGUCGUAGUCCGGAUUGCUCUCUGCAACUCGAGAGCAUGAAGUCGGAAUCGCUAGUAAUCGCGGAUCAGCAUGUCGCGGUGAAUACGUUCCCGGGUCUU